ensembl:ncRNA C54D2.15 ncRNA
GUUGUUUCGCAGUAAUCUCCUGGAUAUGCGAUUGAAGGGCUGUCGAAGAGUCUGCGAUGGGAAUUACUGGUUUUUGGAAUCACGGUUAAUGGAUUGCCUAGUUACGGUAUUAUUUAACAUGCGUUACCAUAUUACAAUGCGGGUA